GAGUUUGAUCCUGGCUCAGAACGACGCUGGCGGCAGGCUUAACACAUGCAAGUCGAGCGCCCGCAAGGGGAGCGGCAGACGGGUGAGUAACGCGUGGGAACGUACCAUUUGCUACGGAAUAACUCAGGGAAACUUGUGCUAAUACCGUAUGAGCCCGAAAGGGGAAAGAGUUUAUCGGCAAAUGAUCGGCCCGCGUUGGAUUAGCUAGUUGGUGGGGUAAAGGCCUACCAAGGCGACGAUCCAUAGCUGGUCUGAGAGGAUGAUCAGCCACACUGGGACUGAGACACGGCCCGAGACUCCUACGGGAGGGCAGCAGUGGGGAAUAUUGGACAAUGGGCGCAAGCCUGAUCCAGCCAUGCCGCGUGAGUGAUGAAGGCCCUAGGGUUGUAAAGCUCUUUCACCGGUGAAGAUAAUGACGGUAACCGGAGAAGAAGCCCCGGCUAACUUCGUG
rnacentral:rRNA from 1 species